GGGAUCCAGGGGCAGCCUCAGCUUCCCUGUGCAGUGUGCUCUAAUAUCUCUCCACUGGCAUCCUGAAAAAUGUUGUCAGCGUGUUUUGUUGGACGACGAAUUGCCACGAGAGGAAAUACUUCAGAGGGGCUUCCCUCCAGAUAAGCCCUGAAUGUGCCAGGAGGUUUCAGCCGGGAGAAAGGAGCUGUGGAAGAAAAGCAGCCUAAAAAUAGCCAGCGGGGAUCAUCAGGUUUUCCAGCCAAGAAAAACCAGGAGGGAGAUGAGGGAAUCGGGUUCCAAUUCCUAAAGAUUUGGUGGGUGUAGGAAUGAUUUCUGUGUGUUUUCCAGUCCCUUUUGAUUCCUGGGAUGAUUUUAAAAUGAUGGCUAAAUUGGAGAUGUUGUUUUUGAGAGGAAAUGAUGCCAAAUAAAUGCAAAGUUUGGGGUCAGUUUU